rnacentral:lncRNA from 1 species
UUACAUUCAGUCUCACUCUUACGCUCUCGCUCUUUGUGGCAGUGCUUCCUCUCCCUCUCACUCUUGCUGUGACUCUCUGCGGUGGUGCUCCCCCUCGCUCUUACUCUCCGCGGCGGUGCUUCCUCUCGUUCUCACUGUUGCUCUCGCUCACAACCAUCUCUGCGACGGUGACGAGGUCAGUAUAUUCUCACCGUGUUGCGCUUGCUCCGUACCUGCAAAUGGUCCCGUCUUCGCCUUCUCUAUGUUAUAUUUUGAGUGCAUUUCUCGCCUUGGAAUAAACUACUGAAACCCCAAUACUUUGCUUUGUGGAUUGUGUGUAUUGCUUUGUCAAAAUACUCUGCCUAGAUGAAAGGUCACGACGGGUGUCUUUCAAUUUUAUUUGGGGAUUAAGGAAGUGUGACGAGUGUGGGUUGAUGCGUGAGAGAUGAGACAUUACGAGUGUCGUAAUGGAGAGACAUUAGUCAUUCUAUUUCUUUGAGCUUUCGCCUUCAUCAAUGAAUGAACAAUUUCAUCAUUGAGUGAACUGAAUCAUUCCCAACAACUGGUGGUGAUUAUGCUCAUUUGGUGAUGACUGAUGAAUAAACUUUAUUUGCCACUAUAAUCGUAUGGAAUAUAUGCUCAUUUCACUCUCUGUAUGUUGUGUGUUUAUUUCAUUAUGUUGAAGUUUUCAUUUUUGUUCCAUCUUACUUUAAUAUUAAUCAUUGUUUACCCAUACUAUAAUAAAUCAAUAAUAAAAGUUACUUAGAAACUAAAAUAGUUUUUAAUUUUUCUCACCAUCAAUGAAAUUUUUAAGUUUAAAACUGAUUUUAAACCAAUUUUUAACUAAAAUUGUUUUUUUUAAAAGAUUUUAAAACCAGUUUAAAAUUAGCUUGAAAUCGAUUUCACCAAAUCAAAUUAUUUUUUAAAUUCAUUCGUAAAAUCCCACUUAAUCGCAUAGUUUAAAAAUAAUUCUAACUUAAUUUUUCGAAAUUCCAAACCAUGUAUACAUUUCCAGCAGAGAACUGCCUGUAGAGAUUUGCUCAUAUUACCUCUCUACCCACUGGACUAACUGCGUGACGGAUUUCUAGGCUUCCUUUUUGUCAAUUUCUU